rfam:Rattus norvegicus chromosome 6, whole genome shotgun sequence.
GCGCGCCGGGUCUAGUGGUCCUAAACAUUUCACAAUUGCGCUACAGAACUGUUGAACUGUUAAGAACCACUGGACCAGGC